rnacentral:rRNA from 1 species
GGUGAAAAGCACUUCGAACAGAAGAGUGAAAUAGUCCCUGAACCCAUACGCCUACAAGCAGUCGGAGCCGCUUCGUGCGGUGACGGCGUGCCUUUUGCAUAAUGAGCCUACGAGUUACUCAUCACCAGCGAGGUUAAGUACUUCAGGUACGUAAGCCGAAGCGAAAGCGAGUCUGAAUAGGGCGUCAAGUUGGUGGUGGUAGACGCGAAACCUUAGUGAUCUACCCAUGGGCAGGGUGAAGGUUUGGUAACACAAACUGGAGGCCCGAACCGGUAAACGUUGAAAAGUUUUCGGAUGACCUGUGGGUAGGGGUGAAAGGCCAAUCAAACUGGGAAAUAGCUCGUACUCUCCGAAAUGCAUUUAGGUGCAGCCUCUGUUGUUUUGUUCUAGAGGUAGAGCUACUGAUUGGAUGCGAGGGCUUCACCGCCUAUCAAAUCCGGCCAAACUCCGAAUGCUAGAACAUGAAGACAGGGAGUGAGCCAGCGGGUGCUAAGGUCCGUUGACGAAAGAGGGAGAACUCAGACCAUCAGCUAAGGUCCCCAAUUAUAUGCUAAGUUGGAAUAAAAACGGGGUGGGACUGCUUAGACAGCUAGGAUGUUGGCUUGGAAGCAGCCAUUCAUUUAAAGAGUGCGUAACAGCUCACUAGUCGAGCGGUCCUGCAUGGAUAAUACGCGGGCAUAAGCAUAUAACCGAAGCUAUGGGAUUGUAGAUGAUACAAUCGGUAGGAGAGCAUUCCAUUCAGCAUAGAAGCAGUACCGUGAGGUAUUGUGGAGCGGAUGGAAAAGCAAAUGUAGGCAUAAGUAACGAUAAUGCGGGUGAGAACCCCGCACGCCGAAAGAUCAAGGAUUCCCCGGCAAUGUCAAUCAUCCGGGGGUAAGUCGGAUCCUAAGGGUAAGCCGAGUGGCGAUCCCGAUGGUAAACAGGUUAAUAUUCCUGUACUGAUCAUAACUGCGAUGCAGCGACGCAGAGGUGACACUGCUGCGUACUGACGGAAUAGUACGUUGAAACCCGUAUUCUUUGAUACCGGUAGUGAAGCACGCCGGUAGAGAUGAAAGGUGAUAGUACCGCAAUGCUUCGGUUGCGCGGAUAAUGCAGGUAAGCUGACUGCCAAGAAAACCUGCUAAGCUUCAGGUAAUGAUCAUCCGUACUGUAAACGGACACACGUGAUCAGGUAGAAAAUACUAAGGCGCUCGAGAGAUUCAUGGUUAAGGAACUAGGCAAAAUGGUCCUGUAACUUCGGGAUAAAGGACGCUCUUGUGAAAGAGCCGCAGAUAAUAGGCCCAGGCGACUGUUUACCAAAAACACAUGGCUAUGCUAAUUCGCAAGAAGAUGUAUAUGGCCUGACACCUGCCCGGUGCCGGAAGGUUAAGAGGAGAGCUCAGAGGUAACUCGAAGGUUUGAAUUGAAGCCCCGGUAAACGGCGGCCGUAACUAUAACGGUCCUAAGGUAGCGAAAUUCCUUGUCGGGUAAGUUCCGACCUGCACGAAUGGUGUAACGAUCUGGGUACUGUCUCAACCAUGAGCUCGGUGAAAUUGUAGUUCCGGUGAAGAUGCCGGAUACCCGCAACGGGACGGAAAGACCCCGUGAACCUUUACUGCAGCUUUGCAUUGAUUUUGGGUAACAGAUGUGUAGGAUAGGUCGGAGGCUUUGAUGCUGCGUCGUCAGGCGUAGAGUAGCCGUCGUUGAAAUACGACCCUUUUGUUAUCUGAGGUCUAAUCCCGUUAGGGAGACAUUGCAUGGUGGGUAGUUUGACUGGGGUGGUCGCCUCCAAAAGUGUAACGGAGGCUUCUCAAGGUACCCUCAAGGCGUUUGGUAAUCGUCUGCAGAGUGCAAUGGCAUAAGGGUGCUUGACUGUGAGACCGACACGUCGAUCAGGUUGGAAACAAGAGCAUAGUGAUCCGGUGGUUCCGCAUGGAAGGGCCAUCGCU